GAGGUUGAUGUGGGAUUUUAAUGCCUUGCAAACUAUUCUCUGCAACAGAAUAUAAUUUUCUUCAAGGCCGUCUCCAUGUGCAGAACUGCACCACUUCCAGCCCUUUGAUAACUCUGUGGAAGACGUCCUGUGACAGCUGACAGCUUCAGAAGAGGUGGAUGGAGAGGCCAUAACCUCUGGAACAUUCUCCAGCUGAGCUGUAGUCUGACCUUGGUCACUUUUAGACGGGAGUGUUCUUCCAGAAGCUGGAGAAUAACAAUACUUGGAUAUACAACGGAGAGUCCUUUCUAUUCAAAGCAGGGAUGCGAGGGGAAACAAGCAGAGAGGCAAUCUAACCAAAUCCAGAGACACCACAAGGACACUAGGAGAGACAGGAGGAAAGGCAAGGCCCUGGAGCACAUCACUAAAAGAAGUUCUAAGAUUAUACCUCCAUGUUGGGAAGAAUCACAUAGGGCAGUGAGGAGAAGUGCACCAGUCAAAUGA
rnacentral:lncRNA from 1 species